AGUGAGGAAUUUUGCGCAAUGGGGGAAACCCUGACGCAGCAACGCCGCGUGAGUGAAGAAGGCUCUUGGGUCGUAAAGCUCUGUCAACUGGGAAGAAAUUAGUUUUAUUUAAUAGAUAAGGCUAUUGACGGUACCAGUGGAGGAAGCGCCGGCUAACUCCGUGCCAGCAGCCGCGGUAACACGGGGGGCGCAAGCGUUAUUCGGAAUUAUUGGGCGUAAAGGGCGCGCAGGCGGUCUUGUCCGUCAGGUGUGAAAGCUCGGGGCUCAACCCCGGAAGUGCACUUGAAACAGCAAGACUUGAAUACGGGAGAGGAGAGAGGAAUUCCUGGUGUAGAGGUGAAAUUCGUAGAUAUCAGGAGGAACACCGAUGGCGAAGGCAUCUCUCUGGACCGAUAUUGACGCUGAGGCGCGAAGGCGUGGGUAGCGAACGGGAUUAGAUACCCCGGUAGUCCACGCAGUAAACGUUGUACACUCGGUGUGGCGGAUAUUAAAAUCUGCUGUGCCUAAGCUAACGCAUUAAGUGUACCCCGCCUGGGAANGUACGGA
rnacentral:rRNA from 1 species